CGAACGAGACUUUUUAUUUGAUGCUUGCAUCUUUUAAAAAGUUGAGUGGCGAACGGGUGAGUAACACGUGGGUAACCUGCCUUAAAGUGGGGGAUAACACUUGGAAACAGGUGCUAAUACCGCAUAACCAUCAAAACCGCCUGGUUUUGAUGUUAAAGAUGGUUCUGCUAUCGCUUUAAGAUGGACCCGCGGCGUAUUAGCUAGUUGGUGAGGUAAUGGCUUACCAAGGCAAUGAUACGUAGCCGAACUGAGAGGUUGAUCGGCCACAUUGGGACUGAGACACGGCCCAAACUCCUACGGGAGGCAGCAGUAGGGAAUCUUCCACAAUGGACGAAAGUCUGAUGGAGCAACGCCGCGUGAGUGAAGAAGGUUUUCGGAUCGUAAAACUCUGUUGUCAGAGAAGAACGUGUGUGAGAGUAACUGUUCACGCAGUGACGGUAUCUGACCAGAAAGUCACGGCUAACUACGUGCCAGCAGCCGCGGUAAUACGUAGGUGGCAAGCGUUGUCCGGAUUUAUUGGGCGUAAAGGGAACGCAGGCGGUCUUUUAAGUCUGAUGUGAAAGCCUUCGGCUUAACCGAAGUCGGGCAUUGGAAACUGGGAGACUUGAGUGCAGAAGAGGAGAGUGGAACUCCAUGUGUAGCGGUGAAAUGCGUAGAUAUAUGGAAGAACACCAGUGGCGAAAGCGGCUCUCUGGUCUGUAACUGACGCUGAGGUCCGAAAGCGUGGGUAGCAAACAGGAUUAGAUACCCUGGUAGUCCACGCCGUAAACGAUGAAUGCUAAGUGUUGGAGG
rnacentral:rRNA from 1 species